rnacentral:rRNA from 1 species
UACGGAGGAUGCAAGCGUUAUCCGGAUUCAUUGGGUUUAAAGGGUGCGCAGGCGGAUUAUUAAGUCAGUGGUGAAAUCCUACAGCUCAACUGUAGAACUGCCAUUGAUACUGAUAAUCUUGAGUAUAUUUGAAGUGGGCGGAAUGUAGCAUGUAGCGGUGAAAUGCAUAGAUAUGCUACAGAACACCAAUUGCGAAGGCAGCUCACUAAACUAUAACUGACGCUCAUGCACGAAAGCGUGGGGAUCAAACAGGAUUAGAUACCCUGGUAGUCCACGCUGUAAACGAUGAUUACUCGUUGUUGGCGAUACACAGUCAGCGACCAAGCGAAAGUGAUAAGUAAUCCACCUGGGGAGUACGAUCGCAAGGUUGAA